UACAGGGGGUGCAAACGUUGCUCGGGAAUCAUUGGGCGUAAAGCGCACGUAGGCGGUCUGUUAUGUCGGAUGUGAAAGCCCUUGGCUUAACUGAGGAAGUGCAUCCGAAACUGGCAGGCUAGAGUACUAAAGAGGGUCGCGGAAUUCCCGGUGUAGAGGUGAAAUUCGUAGAUAUCGGGAGGAACACCGGUGGCGAAGGCGGCGACCUGGGUAGAUACUGACGCUGAGGUGCGAAAGCGGUGGGGAGCAAACAGG
rnacentral:rRNA from 1 species